CGGGUGGUAAUGCCGGAUGUUCCACAUGAUCGCAUGUGAUUGUGGGAAAGAUUCUAUCGGCGUGGGAUGGGGUCGCGUCCUAUCAGCUUGUUGGUGAGGUAACGGCUCACCAAGGCUUCGACGGGUAGCCGGCCUGAGAGGGCGACCGGCCACAUUGGGACUGAGAUACGGCCCAGACUCCUACGGGAGGCAGCAGUGGGGAAUAUUGCACAAUGGGCGCAAGCCUGAUGCAGCGACGCCGCGUGAGGGAUGGAGGCCUUCGGGUUGUAAACCUCUUUUGUUUGGGAGCAAGCCUUCGGGUGAGUGUACCUUUCGAAUAAGCGCCGGCUAACUACGUGCCAGCAGCCGCGGUAAUACGUAGGGCGCAAGCGUUAUCCGGAUUUAUUGGGCGUAAAGGGCUCGUAGGCGGCUCGUCGCGUCCGGUGUGAAAGUCCAUCGCUUAACGGUGGAUCUGCGCCGGGUACGGGCGGGCUGGAGUGCGGUAGGGGAGACUGGAAUUCCCGGUGUAACGGUGGAAUGUGUAGAUAUCGGAAAAAAACA
rnacentral:rRNA from 1 species